UUAAAUACCCCUCUGGAGGUUGCUGAGGGUUAUUGGGUACUGAGUGAAGGUGCUAGCAGCUUCUGGGGGUUCACUACUUGUAGAGGGGGGCUUCUGAACUUGUUGUAUUAUUGUAUUCCCCUCUUUUGUGAGCUGCUGAAAGGAUGGUGUGAUGUUCCUGGACUGUUUUUCUAGGGGCACCAGUGAUGUUUUGGAGAUAAGGAGGACUGGAGGCUAUGCUUCUUAGCACAGCUGUGUUGCUGGUGGAAGUGAGAAGCAUUCCAUGGGGCUGCUUAUAAAAAAAGAAGGUGUUUAAGUUGCUUUAUAUGUGAUCUUAUGCUGUUUUCUUGUUUUCUAUUACAGAGCGAAGUCUGCAAUGAGGUGUUGCACAGUGAGAAUUAGCCCAAGCCCAUUUCUUGUGGGAGCUGUCAAAGAUUUGUUUAGCAGCCACCAGGGCGUCCACAGCAUUAAACAUCUUAUCGUUUGACACCAGAGAUGGACAGGAGGGGUUAGGGUCUGUGCACCACGUGACAUCCUGUUUCAGUGCUGGUAAGUAUUCCUCUUAGCCGUGGUCAUGCCCCAGCGGGAGGCUGCUGCCAGAAAUACUGAGGAGGCCCAAAGGUCCCAUGCUCUCAGAAAAGGGAGGCAGUGACCAAG
rnacentral:lncRNA from 1 species